rnacentral:rRNA from 1 species
CCUACGGGUGGCAGCAGUGGGGAAUAUUGCACAAUGGGGGGAACCCUGAUGCAGCGACGCCGCGUGAGUGAAGAAGUAUUUCGGUAUGUAAAGCUCUAUCAGCAGGGAAGAAGAUGACGGUACCUGACUAAGAAGCCCCGGCUAACUACGUGCCAGCAGCCGCGGUAAUACGUAGGGGGCAAGCGUUAUCCGGAUUUACUGGGUGUAAAGAGAGCGUAGACGGCAGGGCAAGUCUGGAGUGAAAGCCCCGGGCCCAACCCCGGGACUGCUUUGGAAACUGCCAUGCUAGAGUGCUGGAGAGGGAAGCGGAAUUCCUAGUGUAGCGGUGAAAUGCGUAGAUAUUAGGAGGAACACCAGUGGCGAAGGCGGCUUACUGGACAGUAACUGACGUUGAGGCUCGAAAGCGUGGGGAGCAAGCAGGAUUAGAUACCCGGGUAGUC